rnacentral:rRNA from 1 species
CGGCGAUACCCGAAUGGGGAAACCCAGUGUGAUUCGUCACACUAUCAUUAACUGAAUCCAUAGGUUAAUGAGGCGAACCGGGGGAACUGAAACAUCUAAGUACCCCGAGGAAAAGAAAUCAACCGAGAUUCCCCCAGUAGCGGCGAGCGAACGGGGAGGAGCCCAGAGCCUGAAUCAGCAUGUGUGUUAGUGGAAGCGUCUGGAAAGGCGCGCGAUACAGGGUGACAGCCCCGUACACAAAAGCGCAUGUGCUGUGAGCUCGAUGAGUAGGGCGGGACACGUGGUAUCCUGUCUGAAUAUGGGGGGACCAUCCUCCAAGGCUAAAUACUCCUGACUGACCGAUAGUGAACCAGUACCGUGAGGGAAAGGCGAAAAGAACCCCGGCGAGGGGAGUGAAAAAGAA